ACAUCAAACCCCUAGUAUAAGAGUUUAGUUACACAUAGUACUUAAAUAAAACCCAAUAAUACUUGAUAAAUAUUCCAUAAUCAAUAAGGAUAAUGAAAGAAAUAAACAAGAUUAAGAGUUUAGAAAUAAGAACUAGUGAUAAAUUGCUUGGAUGGCUUCCUUGAAACUUUGCACAACUCUUGAAUACUUAACUUCUAAAAAUAAACUAUAUACAAAGCUAUAAAAUGAGAGAAAGAGUAUGGAGUGUAGUGUAAUGUGUGGG
rnacentral:lncRNA from 1 species